GCACACCUACGGGACGCAGCAGUGAGGAAUAUUGGUCAAUGGUCGGGAGACUGAACCAGCCAAGCCGCGUGAGGGAGGAAGGUACAGCGUAUCGUAAACCUCUUUUGUCAGGGAACAAAGGCGGGGACUAGUCCCCGGAUGAGGGUACCUGAAGAAAAAGCAUCGGCUAACUCCGUGCCAGCAGCCGCGGUAAUACGGAGGAUGCGAGCGUUAUCCGGAUUUAUUGGGUUUAAAGGGUGCGUAGGCGGAGUGUCAAGUCAGCGGUAAAAUUUCGGGGCUCAACCCCGUCGUGCCGUUG
rnacentral:rRNA from 1 species